UCAUUGAAUUGAAUGCUUGAUUUAGUUCUAAAUUUGAUUUUAUUUUUUUGUAUUUAUUUUAAUUUGACAUGAUGAUUAUGUUAUUUAUGUUGUAGGAUGAAAUUCGAAAAACAAUAGAAAAUGAACCAUCACUUUCUAAUGCAUAGGUUGCACAGAAGGUUUUUAAGUCAAAGUCUCGUGAUCGGGUUGUGUGUUUUGGAGGAGGUAUAACACUUAAAGAAAUAACAGGACCACAACCUAGUAGAGUGGAACUUCAAACUGAGUUGACAACCGCAAAAAAAAAAAAAAAAAAAAAAAAAAAAAAAA